GACGAACGCUGGCGGCGUGCCUAAUACAUGCAAGUCGAACGCAGUGGGGAUGGGUGAGUAACACGUGGGUAACCUCCCAUCAGAGGGGAUAACACUCGGAAACAGGUGCUAAACCGCUACUGAUGGAUGGACCCGCGGUGCAGUAGCUAGUUGGUGAGGUAACGGCUCACCAAGGCCACGAUGCAUAGCUGACUUGUGAGAGUGAUCGGCCACACUGGGACUGAGACACGGCCCAGACUCCGACGUGAGGCAGCAGUAGGGAGUCUUCGGCAAUGGACGAAAGUCUGACCGAGCAACUCCGCUUGAGUGAAGAAGGUUUUCGGAUCGUAAAACUCUGUUGUUAGAGAAGCGGUAUCUAACCAGAAAGCCACGGCUAACUACGUGCCAGCAGCCGCGGUAAUUC
rnacentral:rRNA from 1 species